CCCGGGGGCCGCCCUCAGCCCCGGGGCCGUCUCGGAGGCGGGCAGCCGCCUUCCCGAGCGAUUCCCCAGAGCGAGGCAGACAGCAGGUGUCCGUGCUUUCCCGCAGAGCGGGUGAGGCGCUAAGGCAGUCUCCCGGCGUUCCGCGAGCUCGGCAGCUUUUGAGGCCCUUUCGGUCCGGUAUUCUGUGGGGUUCCUCUCUCCCUGUCAGCGCAGGCAGCCGCCGCAUCGUGCCUGGAGAGGUGAAAGACAUGUAAAAUCAUAUUCCAGGAUCUCAGAAAUGUGCCAGAAUCUUCCAGCAAAAAAGGAGGAAUUGUUUGUCUGAUAUUAGCAAGAAUCCAAGACAAUAACUCAGCAGAGAGGGAAGAAACAUCCUAAAUUGCUCGCCUGUAUUAUUUAACCAGAGAAUCCACAUGGAUGAUGAUGAUGAAUGGAUUCACUGCCAGGAAAACCUUUGACUGAUGUGUGCUCUUGAGGCACCAGAGAAUGCAACUGUGAGAUACAAAUCCACAGGAAAACAAACUUCAUUAGCUCCACUGUUUACAGAACUACAUGUUUUUUUAACCUGUCAUGUAUUAUUCUGAAACCAAACUGAAAUCCAGUCCUGCAUAUAUUACAGUGAGGAGAUUAUAGUGAAUAAGUGCUUUCAUGUGGAGAAAAUGCCUGAUAUUUAAAAGCUCUGUACACUAAUGGAGAAAGGUGUAACGUAAACUCAUUUUUUGAAGAUUAAGUCAGACAAAUCAGAGGAAAAGGCGCACAUUUUCAGCUGAGAGAGCAAAUAACCUUAGGAGCAGACAACUAAGAAUCGGGGUCUUUGCAAGCCUGAAGCAGAAAAUGGAAACACUGUGUUGAGAAGGCCUAAAAAAAUAACUGGCCAGCUAGCUACUACUAAAAUUCCAAGUUCCAUAGGCUUUCAGACCAAAUGACGACAACUAUCCAGUUUAGUUACCUGCAUAACGUAGGUCACAAUCUCCCACUGUAAUUAGGCUAAACAGUACCUACUUCUAUUUCAGCUCUGUAAUAAAAUAUUUAAGACAACGAUUUUGAUUUCAAGACUCGAGGGAUGGAGAACCAAACACAUACCCAAGUUGGGGCUAUUUUCACUCCCUCAUUCUGAACUCGGCUACAUUCUGCACCAAACUGCUGCCUUUUAAAUCUCUUCCUCCAGCCUGGAGUCCAUGACCAGCAGUACCUGCCCAGUACUUGUACAUAAUAGAGUGGUAUUUUACUUUCCCUUGGAUAAACUAAGCACACUACACUUUCUUCUUCCACUAAAGUAAGUUUUUUUCCAGAUCACCUUUGUGGCUUUAAUUGGCUCAGUCUGCGGUCUCUUUGGCGAUGAGGUGGUAUUCCUUCAUUUCAGGGGGCAUAAAUGGUUUAUUCAAGGACUACUGCUAAAAAUCAAUAUUGAUCUAGAUCCUUCUCUCAGAGAGACUUGUGUAAAGGGCACAUGGUAGUUGGCGUUACAGGGAGCCCUUGGAGGUUGUCCUCCCACACAUCGUCCUCUGUCUGCUUAGCAAAUGCUUUGAUGUCUACAAAAUAUUCUAGUUAUAAAGGUUACAUAACAAGUAUCUUGCAAACAUCAAACACAUACCAUACCUUAUUAGGCCAUGGCUGGAGUAACAAAACCCAUCAGCUACAACUUUAAGUGAUGAAGGAAUCAACACCUAAAAAUGUAAUAAACAGAAGUGGGAGAAAAAAAUGCUAGAAAUUAAUCCAGCACUGGUUAAUCAACAUUGUUUCAGCAAAUAUUACUGCAGGCUUAGGGGCAAUUAACAGAACUUAGUUUGAAGACUCUACUGGUCUGUUAAAAUAGUAUUUAUACUUGUCAUCAGUUUUAGCUAAGAAACUUCCUGGAAAAACAACCCCACCCUCAUCACAGCAAAUGAGGUUCAGCUCCGAAGGCUCUUAAAACGGUGCUUGUCGAGCGCAGCCCCCCUAAAGCCUUGGUGUGCUGUAACAGAGCAGAGCACCGCACUAAAAACGUUCCCUGCUUUUACCAGCUGUGAGGGAGUAUUUAGUCAAAGCAACAGCAAAAAAACCCCCAAACACCAACAACCAAGCAAUCAAUUCUGUUGUGGCAUUUUCAAUGCAGGAAAAUUACUGUUGUGUCCAGUGGAGGGAGUUUUCUGUAUUUUUCGGAAGGAUGCAGAGCAUCUUGUGCGCUUACGCAGGUGCACCCUUAUCUACUAGGUCUGGGUUUCUCCCCUUGAAAUACAUGCUGAUGAGGACUCAGUGUGUCAGCCCAAGAGAAAUACAGAGAUAAGAGAGUGCAACAAGAACAACAGCAGCAACACCUUCAGUGUUUCCUAAAGUGUGAAGGGAGAAGAAAACCUGGCAGCUUCACCACAGGGAAAAGCACUACUAUGAGGUUGGGGUUUUCACAGCGCUGCAGCACCCAUCGCCUCCUCCUCGGGAACGGAGACGUGCAAGAAAAAAGAAAGGGGCUUGCUGGCCAGACUUGCUGGUGGUGGGCGAGGGUGUGACCGAAGUCAACCAGCAGAUACGCUCCCAUCAUUGCACCCAAAUCUGAAGUUUCAGCUUCAAACCUCUUGUGUGAUGGAGUCUGCUGCUUCUAAAGCGAGAGCCAGCAGGUGAAGGGGAACGAUUCUUCCCUAAAAAACAACCAAGAUUGCUGGGCAAGAGAAAAAAAAGAAGGUCCAGGGUGUAAGAAGCAGAUGAGUUAGAGAGGCAGCACUGCUCAGAGCUGGGGGUGUGCGGUUUCACCAGCCAGCUGGAGGAGCAGCGAGCAGCAGCCACCCCUCAGGGGUGAAGAAAACACCACGGCAGCAUUCGUUAACUCAAAGUCAACCAGCCGUGCCUAGCCUAGAAACAGGGACACUGUGAGGAGGGAAAGAAUGGGUUGGAAACUUUUCUACGCUGCCUAGCCUGACCCUUGUGGGUCCCUUCCAACCCAGGGCAUUCUACGAUUCCAGCCAUUUUGAGUCAAUAUUCAACAUACAGUCUCAUUAAUGCCUCACACAGAAAUCCUACUGCCCUCAGCUCCUCUCCGGGUAUCUGCUCAAAGGCUCAGAUCUGCCCUUUUAUUUAUGCACAUGUAUUUAUUUACAAUAGAAAUUCAUAUUCAACCAUCAGUUGCCAGAGUCUCACAGCUCUUUUCCGUGUCAUUGCCUUCUGGGAUCAUUUAUCUUCCUCACAGACUCUUCAUCUGUUCCUUGGGGCUAAGAUGACCUUCCUUUUGCUUACUGUCACACACAGUUUUUACUAAGUGAUUUGGACUACUCACUGACUAAUAAACAGCAAAUUGGUAUAACAAAAACUUGUAUUUUAUUUCAUAUCACUUAUGCAAAUAUUGUACGUUGCUGAAAAGAUCUACACAAUUACACUAGUUAACCACA